GUCCCUACGGGAGGCAGCAGUAGGGAAUCUUCGGCAAUGGGGGCAACCCUGACCGAGCAACGCCGCGUGAGUGAAGAAGGUUUUCGGAUCGUAAAGCUCUGUUGUAAGUCAAGGACGGGUGUGGGAGUGGAAAGUUCACACUGUGUCGGUAGCUUACCAGAAAGGGACGGCUAACUACGUGCCAGCAGCCGCGGUAAUACGUAGGUCCCGAGCGUUGUCCGGAUUUAUUGGGCGUAAAGCGAGCGCAGGCGGUUUGGUAAGUCUGAAAUUAAAGGCUGUGGCUCAACCAUAGUUAGCUUUGGAAA
rnacentral:rRNA from 1 species